UACGGGGGGGGCAAGCGUUGUUCGGAAUUACUGGGCGUAAAGGGCUCGUAGGCGGCCAACUAAGUCGGAUGUGAAAUCCCCAGGCUUAACCUGGGAACUGCAUCCGAUACUGGAUGGCUUGAAUCCGGGAGAGGGAUGCAGAAUUCCAGGUGUAGCGGUGAAAUGCGUAGAUAUCUGGAGGAAUACCGGUGGCGAAGGCGGCAUCCUGGACCGGCAUUGACACUGAUGAGCGAAAGCUAGGGGAGCAAACGGG
rnacentral:rRNA from 1 species